CGGAGGGUGCGAGCGUUGUCCGGAAGUCACUGGGCGUAAAGGGCGCGUAGGUGGCCUGUGGAAGUCUGCGGUGAAAGCCCGGCGCUCAACGCCGGGUCGGCCGUGGAUACUCUCGGGCUUGAGCUCACUAGAGGCAGAUGGAAAUCCGGGUGUAGCGGUGGAAUGCGUAGAGAUCCGGAAGAACACCGGUGGCGAAGGCGGUCUGCUGGGGUGAUGCUGACACUGAUGCGCGACAGCGUGGGGAGCAAACAGGAUUAGAUACCCUGGUAGUCCACGCCGUAAACGAUGGGCACUAGGUGCUUGGGGGAGCGACCCCCUGAGUGCCGUCGCUAACGCAUUGAGUGCCCCGCCUGGGGAGUACGGCCGCAAGGCUG
rnacentral:rRNA from 1 species